AUUGAACGCUGGCGGCAGGCUUAACACAUGCAAGUCGAGCGGGGACUUCGGUCCUAGCGGCGAACGGGUGAGGAAUGCUUGGGAAUCUGCCUGGUAGUGGGGGAUAACGUUUCGAAAGGAACGCUAAUACCGCAUACGUCCUACGGGUGAAAGGGGGGGAUCUUCGGACCUCUCGCUAUCAGAUGAGCCCAAGUCGGAUUAGCUAGUUGGUGAGGUAAAGGCUCACCAAGGCGACGAUCCGUAGCUGGUCUGAGAGGAUGAUCAGCCACACUGGAACUGAGACACGGUCCAGACUCCUACGGGAGGCAGCAGUGGGGAAUAUUGGACAAUGGGCGAAAGCCUGAUCCAGCCAUGCCGCGUGUGUGAAGAAGGCCUUCGGGUUGUAAAGCACUUUAAGCGAGGAGGAAUGGCUCUGGGUUAAUACCCUUGAGCAGUGACGUUACUCGCAGAAUAAGCACCGGCUAACUCUGUGCCAGCAGCCGCAGUAAUAC
rnacentral:rRNA from 1 species